rnacentral:rRNA from 1 species
UACGGGGGGGGGCAAGCGUUGUUCGGAAUUACUGGGCGUAAAGGGCUCGUAGGCGGCCAACUAAGUCGGAUGUGAAAUCCCCAGGCUUAACUUGGGGAACUGCAUCCGAUACUGGAUGGCUUGAACUCCGGGAGAGGGAUGCGGAAUUCCAGGUGUAGCGGUGAAAUGCGUAGAUAUCUGGAGGAACACCGGUUGGCGGAAGGCGCAUCCUGGACCGGAUUGCGCGU